GAGAUAAAGUACAUAGAGAAGAGGGAGGGAGAUGCACACACACACACACACACACAUUAAGAGUUUAGUCACUAAUUAUCUUAAAUCCAAACCAAUUCAGGAAGACUAAGGUACCACUUAGGAACUACUGUGUUGCAUAUGUCCUCCAAUAAAAACACACAACAGAUAUCUCAGCAAAGGAAUCUAGCAUAUUUGUCCAACUCCAUGGGAAAUUCCCCAGUCUCUUACUAAUACAGAUAGUUUAAGUGAGAAGAGAUAAAGGCUUGACCUAGGGAGGUGGCUCUGGGAGUGUGAAGCAAGCUUGUGGAGAUAAAAAUAGAUAAGAUCCGGAGACUUCCUGGUUAUGAGGAAGUAAAGUCAUAACUAGAAUAUGAGGAAGUAAUAAGUCAUAAAUGGGAACUAGAAUAUGAGGAAGUAAUAAGUCAUAAAUGGGAUAUGGAGAAGUAAUAAAUGGGAAUUUUUGUGCCUAGAACAAAUUCAGUUGCGGUAUAGAGCCAGUGGCAUGUGGGACAUUUGGAUAAUUGGAUUGCUUUGUCAGGAAACAGAGUGGCCCAUCCUCCCAGAGAAUCUGACGGUAAUAGUAGUAGUAGUUGUCUCUUGGUAACCGAGGAUGAUGAUUGUCUUUGUGCGUUUUCAUCUGUGAUGUAGAUGAGUGUGCACAGACACUUGUGCGUGAAGGAGAUUUAAGUGGAAAAGUCGAUGCACAGAGACAGUCCCACUCUCUCGGCGUUGGAAGCCUGGGUCCAAUGGCACAAACGGUCGUUACACCUGGAGACUUCCUCAGCUGCAUUGGAUGGCCGUGUUGUCUUUUGUGCUCCAACACGCCCUAAGCACUCCACAGUGCUUUGCUGCGUCACCAUCUCAGCCGUUGAACCUUCUUAUUGGUUUCUUCUGUCUGUUCAGCCGAAGCAGUCUUCACAUGCUGGGGACCAGGAGGUCUUUUUACCAUUGAGAUGUGCGGAGAUAGACCAGCUCACAUCAAAAGGAAGUAGAAACCAGAGAGACAGGAAGUAAUGAGGGAAAAAGGCUUAUAAAAGGUGAGACUGAAGAGCUGAGCAUUUCAUUCACAUUGGAUUUGUUCUGGGUUGUAUACUUCUACAUAGGGGGGAUUCUGCUGUGUUGGCGACUCUGCGCUGGUGACUCUUGCUAAAAGAGUGAUUCUGCAUUGGUGGCUCAAGGAAUUUGGUGACUCACUUGGGCUGAGGAGACCCUGACUCUUUGGCUCUUCUCCUGUCUUUGGUGGGAUACUCUCUUUGGUCUGGAAGCACUCAGAUCCAGACUUAGAGUAUUUAUCUAGGCAAUAUUUUCUACUUCCUUCCUACAUUUCCCCCUUUACUAUCUCUACCUUGCUGUAAUAAAGCUGCUAAAGCUACCA
rnacentral:lncRNA from 1 species